GGAAGGAUCAUUAGUGAACAUAGGACGUCCAACUUAACUUGGAGUCCGAACUCUCACUUUCUAACCCUGUGCAUUUGUUUGGGGUAGUAGCCUUUCGGGGCGAAUCCCUAUUCACUUAUAAACACAAAGUCUAUGAAUGUAUUUAAUUUUAUAACAAAAUAAAACUUUCAACAACGGAUCUCUUGGCUCUCGCAUCGAUGAAGAACGCAGCGAAAUGCGAUAAGUAAUGUGAAUUGCAGAAUUCAGUGAAUCAUCGAAUCUUUGAACGCACCUUGCGCUCCAUGGUAUUCCGUGGAGCAUGCCUGUUUGAGUGUCAUGAAUACUUCAACCCUCCUCUUUCUUUAUGAUCGAAGAGGUGUUUGGAUUUUGAGCGUUUUGCUGGCCUCACGGUCGAGCUCGCUCGUAAUGCAUUAGCAUCCGCAAUCGAACUUCGGAUUGACUUGGCGUAAUAGACUAUUCGCUGAGGAAUUCUAGUCUUCGGACUAGAGCCGGGUUGGAUUAAAGGAAGCUCCUAAUCCUAAUGUCUAUUUUUAAGAUUAGAUCUCAAAUCAGGUAGGACUACCCGCUGAACUUAAGCAUAUCAUA
rnacentral:misc_RNA from 1 species